rnacentral:rRNA from 1 species
CCUACGGGUGGCAGCAGUGGGGAAUAUUGGGCAAUGGGCGCAAGCCUGACCCAGCAACGCCGCGUGAAGGAAGAAGGCCCUCGGGUUGUAAACUUCUUUUUACAGGGACGAAGAAAGUGACGGUACCUGUUGAAUAAGCCACGGCUAACUACGUGCCCGCAGCCGCGGCAAUACGUCAGGGGCAAGCGUUAUCCGGAUUUACUGGUUGUAAAGGGCGUGUAGGCGGAAGAGCAAGUCAGACGUGAAAUUCCAGGGCUCAACCCUGGAACUGCGUUUGAAACUGUUCUUCUUGAGUGAUGGAGAGGCAGGCGGAAUUCGGUGUGUAGCGGUGAAAUGCGUAGAUAUACGGAGGAACACCGAUGGCGAAGGCGGCCUGCUGGACAUUAACUGACACUGAGGCGCGAAAGCGUGGGGAGCAAACAGGAUUAGAUACCCCAGUAGUC